rnacentral:rRNA from 1 species
GACGAACGCUGGCGGCGUGCCUAAUACAUGCAAGUAGAACGCUGAAGGAGGAGCUUGCUCUUCUGGAUGAGUUGCGAACGGGUGAGUAACGCGUAGGUGACCUGCCUGGUAGUGGGGGAUAACUAUUGGAAACGAUAGCUAAUACCGCAUAAUAACAGUUGUUGCAUGACAACUGUUUGAAAGGUGCAAUUGCAUCACUACCAGAUGGACCUGCGUUGUAUUAGCUAGUUGGUGGGGUAACGGCUCACCAAGGCGACGAUACAUAGCCGACCUGAGAGGGUGAUCGGCCACACUGGGACUGAGACACGGCCCAGACUCCUACGGGAGGCAGCAGUAGGGAAUCUUCGGCAAUGGACGAAAGUCUGACCGAGCAACGCCGCGUGAGUGAAGAAGGUUUUCGGAUCGUAAAGCUCUGUUGUAAGAGAAGAACGAGUGUGAGAGUGGAAAGUUCACACUGUGACGGUAUCUUACCAGAAAGGGACGGCUAACUACGUGC